CCUCUCCCUGCCUCCUUCAACAGGGUUUCCCCUUCAGGCCUCCGGGGUCCCCUCCCCAUACCUGAGCUCGCUGGCCUCCUCCCGCUACCCCCCAUUCCCUUCUGACUACCUGGCCCUGCAGCUGCCCGAGCCCAGUCCCCUGAGGCCCAAGCGGGAGAAACGGCCCCGCCUGCCCCGGAAACUCAAGAGCGCGCGCUCUGGCUGCCGUGCGGAGGAGCUGGAUCUGGGAGAGGCUGCGGGCAGGGAGUCCAGUUAGGAGGCUGGGACCGCAGCCCAGAUAAGCCGCUGGGGCUCCUGGCUCAGGCAGCCUGCAAUACCCUCCACCGAACCAGUGAGUGCCGCAGAAGAGGGAGAGGAGGAGUAGGGAGAGGAAGCUGGUGGCAGGUGGCACCUCCGGGGCCGGCAGGCAGAUGUUCAGCGAUGCAGGUAGCGGGGACGAUGCCUUGGAUGGAGACGAUGACCUGGUGAUCGACAUCCCGGAGUGACCGUGACAUCACGCCAUGCCCACCACGGCCCCGCCCGGCGCCCUCCCCGUGCCAGCACACACGAGUCCAGCUUCCUCGGAGGUGUUUAUUGAUGCCCAGCUGCCAUGCUCCGGCCACUGACACAACCAGAAAAGGCGUAAACAUGCACGGGUGUCCCCCAGGAGGGUGGCAGGGGCCCUGCCUUCAAACCCCGGCCCCCUCCAGGGGACAGUUAUUUAAACGAGUGGCCGGGAGCAUCUGCCACCUGCUGGGGAGGCAGAGACCCUGCAAUGGCC
rnacentral:lncRNA from 10 species